rnacentral:rRNA from 1 species
AUUGAACGCUGGCGGCAUGCCUUACACAUGCAAGUCGAACGGCAGCACGGGUGCUUGCACCUGGUGGCGAGUGGCGAACGGGUGAGUAAUACAUCGGAACGUACCUUAUCGUGGGGGAUAACGCAGCGAAAGCUGUGCUAAUACCGCAUACGCCCUGAGGGGGAAAGCGGGGGAUCGAAAGACCUCGCGCGAUUAGAGCGGCCGAUGCCUGAUUAGCUUGUUGGUGGGGUAAAAGCCCACCAAGGCGACGAUCAGUAGCUGGUCAGAGAGGACGAUCAGCAACACUGGGACUGAGACACGGCCCAGACUCCUACGGGAGGCAGAAGUGGGGAAUUUUGGACAAUGGGGGCAACCCUGAUCCAGCAAUGCCGCGUGAGUGAAGAAGGCCUUCGGGUUGUAAAGCUCUUUUGUCAGGGAAGAAACACCGGCUCUAACACAGUCCGGGAAUGACGGUACCUGAAGAAUAAGCACCGGCUAACUACGUGCCAGCAGCCGCGGUAA